CAUAAGAGCCUUACUAGGCUCAGCCAGUGAUCUGUUUAGCUCAGUGUUCUGUGUCACAUGCUAACAACCCAGAUGCAUCCAGGAAGCUCACAGACUUAGACAGGAGGUUGUUGCUGGGGAUGGAAACUGGGAGACCUAACAUUACUACCAUCUGACAUCCAGUUCCUCAGACCCUACCCACUGAGACAAGUCCUUAGGUGGCCUAUCCUUUUGAGACAUCUUGCCGUUUUAGCAAUCAAAGCAAAAAGAAUCAGGAGAGGAAACUUGUAGUUCAAACAAGCCUUUACAGCACAUAUCUUGCUCAACAAAGCCUGAUGAAUCACACUAAACGGAGGUUGCAGAACCAAGGUCAUCAUAACACUGGGACUGUUGUGGAGGGCUACUGCCCUGGCCCCCUGCUGCUGCCCACAUACAUUCCCUACUCCCAUUGAUGCCACCCUGCCCCCCACCACUGAUGCCCUGCUCCCGGCUACUGAUGACUUCCUGCCCUUCUCUGACAGUGGCAGGACUGGAACAGCCAAUGGGCCAGAUGUCGCCUGCAGGCCAUUAAAUCCCCAGGCAAUAAACUGAAUGAUAUGGCAGUCCUUCAGAUUCAAAGAAGACAUUCUGCUCUGCAGUUCACCUAUGUCAUGGAAAUGGCAGCCCCAGCCUAAAAAACGCAGAGUCUAGUACAGUGGGAGAAUUGGAACUCCAUUGUUGUAAUAACUGGGGGUUAUUUUUAUUUUGAAAAAUAUUACAUGCAAGCUAAAAAUUUUAUAGAGUGUUAGUGAUUCCAGCUCUAUUCUGUAGUAGCCUUAGUUAAGUUUAACAUGAUUUACUAACUAAAUAUAUACAGGAUUACUACUUAAUGCAAACUAUGCAUUGUAAUAUAUUAAGAUAGUAGACUGUUAAUUUGUCAGAUGGUGUUUAAUUCUGGGUAACCUUGUAAAAUAGUUACAUUAUGUGCUUUAUUGUUGACUCCUCAAAAUACAUUUAUAUUGCAUAAAGUGUCCAGUGUGCUUUAUGGAAUAAAUUGCUAAAUUUGGA